CCUGGGCAUGCCACAGAGCCAGACGUGAGCGUCCUUCAAACACCUCGAUCCUGGAAAUAGCAGUAGGGUGCUGCUGGAACCAAGACUUAAAUGUGCGGAUGUGGCUUUGGAACUGGGAGAAUCAUAAAGCUUGUUAUGUGUGAGGCAGUCCUCUGAUGAUUCCUAAUUGGGCUAUUUUUUCCCCUGUUGAAUUUCAAUUGAGAAAGAAAAAAGCGAUUGCAGCAUUUUUUCAAGGCAAAACAAGCCAUAGAACAACCACAGACCGCAAACAACAAAACAAUCUUUCAUGAGGCUAAUUAGUCCUGAGCCUUAAAAAUAAUAAUAAUAAUUACCAAUUUUGGAGCCAUCCUCGAAGGCUUUUUGAACCACAUCGUAAAUCAGGACACUUCUGCCUUCCGAAGCAGGCACUGGGAGAAAAACAAGGCACUCUCAAGUUGUUGCUUUCCGUGACUCUGAUUUGGCUGAAUUCUCUUCUGAUAAAGAAAAUUUCAGGACAUUGAUGGACAAGGAAAGCGCGUUUCUUGCACACCCGGAUUCUUUGAACGGACUUCGUGAUCCACAGCUGGGCUCGUAAUCAGAAGGGGUUCUUUCUGUUUUAAAACCCAGAAGGGGAGCUGACAUCUUUUAUCAAAAAGACAGACAAUUCGUAUCCCCUGACAAUUCUAGAUUAUGGAUCCCGGGAGACUCUCCUUACACUGGUAUUUUAUCACUGGAAUCAGAGCGGCUGCUGUUUAUUUUCUGAACCUCCGCGUAGUUUUCAAGGUGUUGCCAGCAGGGCCUGGGCUGACAGUGACACGUGUUAUUGUCACAUUGCUAGAUCUGAAAGAAAACACCAGAUAAAUAAAUAUCAGUGUUUUCUUGGA